UGCAGGGUGGAGCAGCUUGGUAGCUCGUCAGGCUCAUAACCUGGAGGUCAUUGGUUCAAAUCCAAUCCCUGCACCCA
rnacentral:tRNA from 1 species